rnacentral:rRNA from 1 species
UUUAAUGAGAGUUUGAUCCUGGCUCAGGACGAACGCUGGCGGCGUGCCUAAUACAUGCAAGUAGAACGCUGAGGUUUGGUGUUUACACUAGACUGAUGAGUUGCGAAAGGGUGAGUAACGCGUAGGUAACCUGCCU